rnacentral:lncRNA from 1 species
CAGCACAUUAAAAAAGGAGUGUAAUUCUACAUGGCAUGAUAAUCAAAAGACCUGAAUAAACAACAAGUCUUCUAGGUGGAUUACACCCAACUUCGGUCACCAAAAUUCAACUUAAGCCAAAUUUUGUAAAAAACUAAAUCCCGGUGUGAACGUAAUCCUCCCACGUGAGAGAGUGUGUUGAAGAAGACUUACAAAAAUCAGCCACUCAGUCUUCCCUUUUCCACCACGGCACUGGCUACUUCCUUCUAUAAAUUGUGCAGAAGGAGUACUUCCCAAAUGCACCAUACUCCCUCUCUCUAAUCUCUCUCUUUCUCUCUCAUAAAUUAUUAACUAGUGCACAUUGAAUUAAGAUGAUGAAGUUGUCAUAUUCAGGCGUGGCCCUGUGUGUGGUGGUGAUGGUGGCAGUGAUGGUAAGUGAAGAGGCAAGGAUGGCAGAGGCAGUGACAUGCAGCCCAGUGCAGUUGAGCUCAUGCUUGGGCCCAAUAAAUUCAGGGUCACCUCCUUCAACCACAUGCUGCCAGAAACUGAGGGAGCAGAGGCCUUGCCUUUGUGGAUAUCUCAAGAACCCAAGCCUCAGGCAAUAUGUCAACAGCCCCAACGCCAGAAAACUUGCUUCCAACUGUGGUGUUCCCGUCCCUCAAUGUUAAAUCAUUUUCCAAUAUCAGUCACUUUCUUCUGAAUCCUGUUCAUCAUGAAGAAGAAGUUUUAUAAUAUAUAUAAUAUAUAAUUAUAUGCAAUAAGAAUGAUGACUUAGUUGAUGUCUUUCUUCAAGACCAGCAAUCAUUGUACCAUGAGAAUACUGGGGUUUUAAAUGAAUAAAAUAAGUUUGCAUUUA